ACAAAAGUAUUUUUUGAACAAAACUACUUAUUUCAAUCCACUCAAAAUUUAUUUAAUACUGAAAUUGUCCGUGCAUGACCUAAAUAAGUGUUACUAUUUUUAAACUAUAAACAUCGUACAUUUAUGCUUUGGCUUGUGUUGUCAAAUCGGCAUUAAUGGCCAUUUAAUAUCCGGUUCAACAUGGACACGAUUGAUUUCAUUCAAGAUAGAGGUAUUUUUGUUAAUACCGUUAUGUAGUUUUUAUAAACUGCUUUGCUUUCAAAGUAAAUCAGGAAAUAUCGUACAACUAAAUUUUUGUCCGAACCAUCGCAUGCUUCCGAAUCUCAUCUACUCGUAUGGUUCCUAUGUAAACAAUGGCUUUUGUAGCUGUCAUUCCGACACAUUUCAUAGAUUUCUUAUUUUCAUAUCAGCACUUUGUCGACGGGAAAUCCAAUCAAGAAAACCCUGACUCUCAAGCAGCUACUGUAUUUGACCAGCUCACACCAGCUAGGCCUCCUCCAAAACUCAGAUAAAUAUUUGAGCCACCAAAACAAAACGAGAACAGAUCGGUCUGAAUCGUUAAGAACUGAAGCUAACAUCAUAGAGGUACAUCCUUCCAAGAAUCCAUCAAAACAACAUGCUGAACAACUUCAAGAACUCUCUUCAAAAGACCACACUUUCCUGAAAUAAAUAAAAGAUGCCAAUAUUAAAAUAAAUCAGUUACAUGUAUUGUUAAAUAUUUUAAUACUAGCUGUAAAUGCUACUGCCUUUGAUGUUUGCUUUCUACAUGUAUAUCAUAAUGAAAUAUUGACAAGAUAAUAGCUAAUGUUU